rnacentral:rRNA from 1 species
AUUGAACGCUGGCGGCAGGCCUAACACAUGCAAGUCGAGCGCGAAAAUUCCUUCGGGGAUGAGUAGAGCGGCGGACGGGUGAGUAACGCGUAGGAAUCUGCCCGGUAGUGGGGGACAACAGUCGGAAACGACUGCUAAUACCGCAUACGCCCUAAGGGGGAAAGCAGGGGAUCUUCGGACCUUGCGCUAUCGGAUGAGCCUGCGUCGGAUUAGCUUGUUGGUGGGGUAAUGGCCUACCAAGGCGACGAUCCGUAGCUGGUCUGAGAGGACGAUCAGCCACACUGGGACUGAGACACGGCCCAGACUCCUACGGGAGGCAGCAGUGGGGAAUAUUGGACAAUGGGGGAAACCCUGAUCCAGCCAUGCCGCGUGUGUGAAGAAGGCC